rnacentral:RNase_P_RNA from 1 species
GGGAGAGAGAGCCUGGCCGCCGCGGCGAGUGUGUCGGUGACGACGCGCUCGUUCAGCGUGGGCCGACUCUUCGAGUCGUCCCACGCACGCGAGGAAAGUCCCCCCACCUGUUCGGGCAGGUGACCGGACGCAAGUCCGGAGUGGGAGACCACUGGCUCUGGAACAGAAACGACACGUCUCGGCCCGACCGAUGAUGCGCGCGAACCCGACCGCAAGGAAGGGGAGUGAACCCGCUGACGGGCCCGCAGUCGAAACUCGCGGUUCGAAACCGCAGACCGUGUCCGACACGGUCGACUGUGGACUGACGGCCGAGGAUCGAUGGAACGGCGAACCCUCACCGGUGCAAGUCCGCACCGUGGUAGCCCGAACGCCCCGCGGCCGCAUCGAGGCCGCGGACGGCGCGGACGCUCAGCCGAAUGCCGGGACGAACAGAAGGGGGCUUACUCCUCUCACCC